UUUGACUUGAGGAAACGAAAACAGAAACAACUAUCUCCCUCAGAGCGCGAGAGAGCUAAGCCAGACGCGACAAAAACACUUUCUGUCUGAGUAUUUUUUGCCUGUGUCACUGAAAGACACUUUUUUGCAGACAACGAAAAAGUGUUAACAGUUUUUUGCGAGCUAUGCUCUAUGCUCAAUUUUUUUCUUGCUCUCUCGCUCUCUCUGCUCUCUCAAUAUGUAUAUGCAUAUAUGCAUGUGAGCACAACCCAGUGGCGACGACCUGAAUGAGGUCUGUUGAAAUAAUGCAUUACAUACGACAAAAAAGUAAUGCAUUACCUAUGAACAUUUUUUUCAGCGCAUUUGUAAUGUACAAAAUAAAAAGUGCUACUCAUACGACAGAAUCGAGCUCUUGUCAACUUCGUUUCUGUAUGCCCCUUCCCCGCUAACCAACAAACGAUUUUCGUCUUUCGUUGCGUCGCGACGAAAUCGCCGAAUUUCGUUUUGGACUUUACCGUUUUUUGCAUGGAAUGCGUGCCUUCUUUCGUUUGGUUUCUUUGUCUAUGCCAAUUUCUUUUGUGUGUAUAGUGUUAAUGAGUGUAAAUACAAGUUCAAAAAUGCAUAUGUGUGAUGAUUUCUGUUUUCGUUUUACCCGCCGCGGCGCGUCACUUUUCUGCUAUUGUUGAGCCGUGCGGACGUAAAUUUAAAGGGAAGUAUCUGAUGCUAUAAAAACCGAAGGGUCCACUAAGAAGACCUAUAUAAGUACAAUAAGAAACUGCUUUCGGGUCCAGAAAGGUCGACUGGCAAAGCAGAAGUUCGAUAAUAAGGACAAACUAGAUAAUAAGACAUAGCUUUAGAUUUUGAUGAAGAUAGAUAUAAUAAAAUAGUAAUAAGACAUA